AACGGUCUAUACCUGCGGUACCUGCGGAGGGAUCAUUACAGAGAACUUGCCCGUCUGGGUAGAUCUCCCACCCUUUGUUUACUAUACUUUUGUUGCUUUGGCAAGCCUGUCUUGUGACUACUGGCCUCCAGCUAGUAAGUGCUUGCCAGAGGACCCCAAACACUUUACAUUGUGUUGUCUGAGUAGUACAGAAAUUUUUAAAACUUUCAACAACGGAUCUCUAGAUCGGAAGAGCACACG
rnacentral:misc_RNA from 1 species